CCAGGUUGAGGGCCCACCCGGGCGAAGUCAGACACACAACAACGCACACCCUCACGCACCUGCGCCAGCGCCACUAAUUACAAAUCCCAGCAGGCAGUGGGAUGCUGGGUGGGGCCGAGAGUCCGAUGUUUUCCUCCGGAAGUGGAGUCAGGCAGGCAUGUUGGCGAGCCUUUCGGGGAGGGGUGCCUGGCCGCAGACUAAAGACUGCUGGUACAGGGGACAGUGGGUGUUGACGAUGGCCCACUGUAGGCACACAGUGCGCGCCUCCUUGACUCGGACUCCGUUGCCCGGGCUAACUCCCUGGACAGGAGGGAGGAUCAGCCCAGACCCUGAAGCGGGACCGAGCUUGUUAGGGUCCUUGUAUGGCUUGCAAGACUCUGGAGAGGCCCGGGAAAGGCCCGGGUCCUCCUUGUCCCCCGAAUGCAGGUCCUGACCCUGGGCAUCAGGAUGAGAGGCUACUCUGGGGGUUGCCCAAAGAGCCUCUGAGAUGCUGAAGGGACUUACCCAAACCCUUCAGCGCAAACCGAGCUAGAUGGGGUGAGCGGAGCCGAGGCCCCCCACUUCCUCCACCUCCGCCUGGGACUGCACGCUCCUGACGUCUCUUCUCAGCUGAUUUCUGGCUCCCAGGUGGGGACUCAGGUUACACACCUGUAUUGGGAGCAGUGACACCGCAGUGGGCAGAAACACACGGACUUUCUGUCUCCGACCCCAUUUUUAGUUUUACACCUACUGUGCUGCUACAUGCCUGGUGGUCAAUGUAGAUCCAGAAGUCAGAGACUCUUAAGGUGUAGCCAUGACGAUGUUAAGAAAGAGACCACCGACUUUCUGGAAAUAUUCCAGCUAGUCUUGAAACAGUUAGAAAUGACUUCAGAAGGAACUCCGAGUAGAUUGCCUACAUUCUCCUGGUGAAAUCCGUAUUAAUUGGUCUCGGUGGCCCAUCUAGGCCUGGGAAUUUCUCCGAGAUUUCUUAGAGCUCUGAACCUUUCUGUUAAGAAAACUAACAUUUGGGAAAGCUGAGGCAGAAGGGUCAUGAGUUCAAGUCCAGCUUGGGCUACAUAAUGUGACUGUCAAAAAAAAAAAAAGGCAAAACAAAAAGCCAUCAUUUUAAAUAGGCUUUUUCCACUAGAGGUGAGAGGUAAACACCAUAAACUUUUGGGGACAGCCAUUGCUCCAGUCCCUAGUUGAAAAGCCCAUUCUCCCACUAUUAGAAUUUAUUUUUACUACUGAUUUUUUUUGUUGGGAGGCGUUAAUGUAGUUUUGUUUGGGGCAGUCAUAGAAAUUUUUGAGUCAGCCAGGCCAGUAAUUCCAGUUUCUCAGGAGGCUGAGGCAAGAAGAUUUCAAGUUUAAGGCCUGCCUGGAACACUUAGUGAAACCCUGCCUCAAAGGCAAACAUGCAAAAGAGAAAUAAAAAGGAUAAAAAAAAAUAAAUAAAAAAGGAAGGACAUGGUGCCCCUAGGUAUGGUAGAGGAGAAGGUUCACUGUAGAUAUGAGGGAGGAAACAGGAAGAGAGAUCCGGAAAGUCCAGAGUGAACAUGACCCUGAGCCAGGCAAGGGAGGAGAGGAGAGACAGGAGACCGAGAUGCCUGAAGGGCAGAGUUCUGGAGAAAUGCUUCUACCUGACUGGCCUUCCUUGGCUUGCUCAGCCUGCUUUCUCUCUUUUUUCCAUUUAUUUAUUUAUGUAUGUAUGUAUUUAUUUAUUUAUGUGUCUUGUGUAGAUGAGCAUUUCAUCUUCAUGUAUGUCUGCCCUCCCAGAAGAAGGAAUCUGAUCACACCAUAGAUGAAUGUGAGCCACCAUGUGGAUGCUGGAAUUGAAAUCAAGACUUCUGUGAGUGUAAAGGGUGCUCUUAACCAUGGAGUCUCCUCUCCAGUCCCCUCAGCAUCCUUUCUUAUAGACCUCUGGGCUGCCUGUCAGAGCGGCUACACCAACAGUGGGUUGUCCUCUCCUGUUUCAAUCAUGAGUUUCCUGUUGGAAAGCCAGUCUGAUGGGGACAAUCCCUCAUUUGUGUCUGCUUCUCAGAUGACUCUAGUUGGUGCUGAUAUAACAAUAACCAGCACACAGAUCUGGGAUUGUGUCAGUUGCCUUCUAUUGACCUUUGAAGCUUUAAGAUUGGUACUGCCAGUUGCUACCCCCAACAGCUCUUGGGCUUGUUUGUGUGUGAGAGCCACAUCAGUUAAGAUCAUUUGCUGCUCUUCCAGAAGAACCAAGUGCAAUCAUCAGUACCCACAGGGCACCUCACCCUGUUGCAACUCCAGUUCCUGAGACCAGACCUGUCUUCUGAACUCCUUAGUUGCCAGAUACACUUGGUGGACAUACAUAAAUGCAUGCACAUGUGGUUGACAUACAUACACACAUGUCUACAUUCCUAAUACUCAUGUAACAAACAUACAUAUAUACACAUGUGGUUCACAUACAUACACAUGUGGUUCACAUACAUACGCACGUGAAAUAGACACAUUGGUACACAUACAUAGUACACUAUUAGUGUACAUACAUACAUACAUGUAUGCUGAAGAUACAUUCAUAUGCAUAUGGUAAACAUACAUACUCUUGCGGUACACAUAAAUAUGUACACAUGUAUACACAAACAUACAACCAUCUGGGGUGUAUAUACAUAUACAAGUGGUGCACAUAUAGACAUACACUCAGGCAGAAUACUAACACACAUAAAAUAAGCCUGAGUUUUUAAACAAUGAGAAGAAAUUCUAUUUACUUUAUGUGAGUGAAUAUGUUUGCUUGCCCUUGUGUGCAUGUCUGUAUCUGUGGAGGUUAGAAGAGGUGAUAGGAUCCCAAUGAAGUGGUGUUACAGGCUGUAUAUAUUUGCUUGUGACAAACUCAGGUCCUCUGGAGGAGCAGUCAGUGCUCUAACUGCUGAGCUGUCUCUCCAUCUCCAAAAAUAAACAUUCAGGAGCACUGCUUCCUAUAGGCCGACACUUAAAGCUCUGCAUGUGAUUGAAUGGGGCUUGUUUGAGGGCAGGCUACUGUAGCUCACGCUGACCUGGAACUUCAUAUGUGGCUGAGACUGGCCAUGAAUCUAAAGCCUGCCUCAGUUUCCUGAGUACUGGAUUACGGGCAGCCUCACUAAGCCCUGGUAUCCUGUUACAAGGUUCAGAAAAUUAAACCAUACUAGAGAAGUGACUCAGCAGUGAAGAGUUUCUUGUUGUGGAAUAUUCCUAUGAUGUGUAAAGAUGCGAUACUUUAUGCUGCAUUUGUUUAACUAUGUAAAGGUGUGUUUCUUUAUGCUGCAUUUGUUUAACUAUGUAAAGGGGUGUUUCUUUAUGCUGCACUUGGUUAACUAUGUAAAGAGGUGUUGCUGUUUCACCUAGACUGCCUGAGGCACCUGAUUCUUGUAAUACAAAGCCGAACAGUCAAUAGCUAGGCGGGCCCAGGGAUAAAUAGGAGGAAGACUCUAGACUGUGGGAGAGAAUGAAGAAGAAGGGAGCGGUGAGGAAGAGAGGGACGUGUCGGGGACCAGAAGCCAGGCAUCUGCCAGCCAGCUAGGCAGAGUAGGACAAACAGAAGAAAGAAAGGUAAAAACCCAGAGUCAAAACAUACAUGAAGAGGCACAGCUUAAGUUCUAAGAGCCAGCCAGAAAUAAGCCUAAGACAAGGAUUCAUACCUAAGAGGAAGUCUCUGUGAUGGGAGAGUCCUGUGUAUAUGUCAAUAAAGCACUGUUGGCCAAUAGGGAAGCAAGAUAGGUGGGACUAUCAGUCUAGGAGGAUUCUAGGUAAAGUAGUGAAGAAGCUGGUCUCCAUGUGACUCCCGGGAGGAAUGGAGUUGGCAGGAGUGCGUCUUAGCAAAGAUAAGUUCUUGUAAAAUAUAUUUGAGUAAUUAUGGGUUAAUAAUCAAGUCAGACUUAGCCGAUCAGAAAGCAAGUAAACAGCCAGCAGCUGCAUAAUUAGUAUAGGGUCUCGUGUGUUAUUUAGGGGCUCAGACAGCUCGGCAGGGCCCAGGCAGCUGGCGGGGAAGACAACACAUAGGCUCUGUGUCAUGAUUUGAGAGCUGUCUGGUGGCCCUAGAGAAAGCCUGUUACAGCACAAGGUUGCUCUUCAAUUCCCAGCACCCACAAAGCAGCUCACAACUGCCUGUAUCAUCAGUUCCAGGGGACCCAAGGCCCUUUUCUGCCCUCCAGUGUGCAUUUCACACAUGUGGUGCACAAACGUACAUGCAGGCAAAACCCUCAUACACAUGGGAAUAAUAGGUAAAAUGAUUAAAAGAGAUUUUAAAAGAUAUAAAUGUAUCUACAUAAGCUUCCUUUCAUUUAAGGAUUUUAUUUCUUUCCUUUCUCUCCUUUUUUUCUGUGUAUUUACAGAUGUGUCUCUUCAUGUGUGUAGGGAUGAGGGUGAGAGGCAGGGGUGGUUGUGAAGGCCAGAGGACAAUAUGUAGUUCUGUGUAUCCAUCUUUAAAAUGUUUUCAAAAGGCACAUUCUUCCUGGCCCAGAACUGUUCAACAAAUAUGCCAGGCUGGCUGGCCAGGGAGUCCCAGGGUUCUGCUCUGCCUUCCUAGUGCUUGAAUUACAAGCGCCACAUCACCUCACUUUAUUAAAAAUGUCCUAGAACUUGCUCUGUAGACCAGGCUGGCCUGGAACUCACAGAGAUCUACGUGGCUCUGCCUCCCAAGGGCUGGGAUUAAAGGUGUGCGCCCCCAACACCCGGCAUGACUCUUCAUCUUGCAAGGAAAAUACAGACUGGGAAGUGAGAACUUUCAGGGACAGAGGUGCUCAGCACUAGGAGUUGCCUGACUAGUGGGUGGGACAAAACAUCCACACACAUGUAAACAAAUCAAUUACAAUAAAACAAAAGACUAGAUUACCUUUAUAUGUUUAGCUGUGUGUUUUUCUCCCUCCAGGGAUACGAUUCAUCCAUGUUUCCCUUACACCUAGCAAAAUCUCAUGGAGGCAGGCCACAAUAAGUGUUCAAAGACAAGCAGGCAGACCUUGUUGAGUGGUGAGCAUCCCAGGCUGGGCUAAGCUGGAACCCUGAAUGUGGGGGGGGAAGGGUGCUGGGAUGAAAAGGACAGGGACCCUGUUCUCAUCAGUCCUACAGUGUAUGUGGUCUUCUGAUGCCUUGUCUUCUCUGACCAGCCUAUUAGAUGCCACCAUGCUGGGGCCUUUCUUCUUGCCUGGUGAUUUCUGUAGUUAGAAAGUAGCAAUACAUGGAGGAAUGUGUGAGCAACUCAAGGGUGAGAUCCAGGUUUCUGUUCCCCUUUGGAGGAGAACAGGAUCCAUCAAGAUCAAUUCUCAUUUCUGAAUAUCUAUCCCACAAAUAUAAGGACACCCACACUUGUAAAAAAAUGUUUUCUUGGAAGCAUGCCAGCCUUCUGAUCUUCCCGCUUGUGUGUAAGUUCUUUCUCUGGUAAAUAAAUAUAUCAAUUUCCA